AUUGAACGCUGGCGGCAGGCUUAACACAUGCAAGUCGAGCGGAGCGAGGGUGCUUGCACCUUAGCUUAGCGGCGGACGGGUGAGUAAUGCUUAGGAAUCUGCCUAUUAGUGGGGGACAACAUUCCGAAAGGAAUGCUAAUACCGCAUACGCCCUACGGGGGAAAGCAGGGGAUCUUCGGACCUUGCGCUAAUAGAUGAGCCUAAGUCGGAUUAGCUAGUUGGUGGGGUAAAGGCCUACCAAGGCGACGAUCUGUAGCGGGUCUGAGAGGAUGAUCCGCCACACUGGGACUGAGACACGGCCCAGACUCCUACGGGAGGCAGCAGUGGGGAAUAUUGGACAAUGGGCGGAGGCCUGAUCCAGCCAUGCCGCGUGUGUGAAGAAGGCCUUUUGGUUGUAAAGCACUUUAAGCGAGGAGGAGGCUACUUAGAUUAAUACUCUGGGAUAGUGGACGUUACUCGCAGAAUAAGCACCGGCUAACUCUGUGCCAGCAGCCGCCGUAACAC
rnacentral:rRNA from 1 species